rnacentral:ncRNA from 2 species
AGGGCUGGAAGAGGUGCGUUAUUCAGGUAGUUCAGUUGAGGAGAGCAAACUCCUAAGACUCUGAACGAGGGGAAUUAACGCCGAGAGAGUAUUGUUUUUGCUAACUCUAACUCUCGGGCGUCUGGGCUGAAUCCCAGCGACUGUCACCAAUUACUUAUUAUAAGUAAAUAUGUUUGGUGGAGAGCUUCUGGUCUU